rnacentral:rRNA from 1 species
ACCCGCACGUAUAGAUGGACAAGAAUAGGCUUCGGCUUAGCGUCUUAGCAGGCGAUUCUUCCACGGCGCUCGAAGCGCGUCGUGGUAUUUCGCGUAUUGUAAUUUCAACACGAGCGGGGUCAAAUCCUUUGCAGACGACUUAGCUGUGCGAAACGGUCCUGUAAGCAGUAGAGUAGCCUUGUUGUUACGAUCUGCUGAGGGUAAGCCGUCCUUCGCCUCGAUUUCCCCAAUGGGUUCUCCGGAU